ACAAUUUGACCGAUUUACGAGUGUGUUAUACAGGAAGUAUUGCCGGGAAAAGUACUUACCCAUAUAUUUGAUAAUUCAAUAUGACAUAAUAAGGAGAAUUAGGAUAUAAAAAUCCAGUCUACAACCGAUCAAUAAAGACGUAUAACCUCUUGCUUUAAGCAUAUUAAAUAUUCUUAGAAAGAAUAAUAUUUUGGUAAAUUUUUUAACAAAAUUAACUUGUAAUGCUCUUCCCAUCUAGUUUCCCUAUGUUGACCUGCCGCAAAUUAGUAAUACAAUGAGUUUUAUAAAUUUUCCAAA